UCAGGAUGAACGCUAGCUACAGGCUUAACACAUGCAAGUCGAGGGGAAACGACAUCGAAAGCUUGCUUUUGAUGGGCGUCGACCGGCGCACGGGUGAGUAACGCGUAUCCAACCUGCCCAUCACUUGGGGAUAACCUUGCGAAAGUAAGACUAAUACCCAAUGAUAUCUCUAGAAGACAUCUGAAAGAGAUUAAAGAUUUAUCGGUGAUGGAUGGGGAUGCGUCUGAUUAGCUUGUUGGCGGGGUAACGGCCCACCAAGGCGACGAUCAGUAGGGGUUCUGAGAGGAAGGUCCCCCACAUUGGAACUGAGACACGGUCCAAACUCCUACGGGGGGCAGCAGUGAGGAAUAUUGGUCAAUGGGCGAGAGCCUGAACCAGCCAAGUAGCGUGCAGGAUGACGGCCCUAUGGGUUGUAAACUGCUUUUAUAAGGGAAUAAAGUGAGUCUCGUGAGACUUUUUGCAUGUACCUUAUGAAUAAGGACCGGCUAAUUCUGUGCCAGCAGCCGCGGUAAUACGGAAGGUCCGGGCGUUAUCCGGAUUUAUUGGGUUUAAAGGGAGCGUAGGCCGGAGAUUAAGCGUGUUGUGAAAUGUAGACGCUCAACGUCUGCACUGCAGCGCGAACUGGUUUCCUUGAGUACGCACAAAGUGGGCGGAAUUCGUGGUGUAGCGGUGAAAUGCUUAGAUAUCACGAAGAACUCCGAUUGCGAAGGCAGCUCACUGGAGCGCAACUGACGCUGAAGCUCGAAAGUGCGGGUAUCGAACAGGAUUAGAUACCCUGGUAGUCCGCACGGUAAACGAUGGAUGCCCGCUGUUGGUCUGAAUAGGUCAGCGGCC
rnacentral:rRNA from 1 species